UACGAAGGGGGCUAGCGUUGCUCGGAAUCACUGGGCGUAAAGGGUGCGUAGGCGGGUUUUUAAGUCAGAGGGGAAAUCCUGGAGCUCAACUCCAGAACUGCCUUUGAUACUGAAAGUCUUGAGUAUGGGAGAGGUGAGUGGAACUGCGAGUGUAGAGGUGAAAUUCGUAGAUAUUCGCAAGAACACCAGUGGCGAAGGCGGCUCACUGGCCCAUUACUGACGCUGAGGCACGAAAGCGUGGGGAGCAAACAGG
rnacentral:rRNA from 1 species